rnacentral:rRNA from 1 species
UUGGUGAGGUAACGGCUCACCAAGGCCACGAUGCGUAGCCGACCUGAGAGGGUGAUCGGCCACAUUGGAACUGAGACACGGUCCAGGCUCCUACGGGAGGCAGCAGUGGGGAGUAUUGCACAAUGGGCGAAAGCCUGAUGCAGCAACGCCGCGUGAGUGAUGAAGGCUUUCGAGUCGUAAAGCUCUUUGAUCAGGGAUGAUAAUGACAGUACCUGAAAAACAAGCCACGGCUAACUACGUGCCAGCAGCCGCGGUAAUACGUAGGUGGCGAGCGUUGUCCGGAAUUACUGGGCGUAAAGGAUGCGUAGGUGGAUAUAUAAGCGGGAUGUGAAAUCCCCGGGCUCAACCCGGGAACUGCAUUCCAAACUGGAUAUCUAGAGUGCAGGAGAGGAAAGCGGAAUUCCUAGUGUAGCGGUGAAAUGCGUAGAUAUUAGGAGGAACACCAGUGGCGAAGGCGGCUUUCUGGACUGUAACUGACACUGAGGCAUGAAAGCGUGGGUAGCAAACAGGAUUAGAUACCCUGGUAGUCCACGCCGUAAACGAUGGGUACUAGGUGUAGGAGGUAUCGACCCCUUCUGUGCCGUCGUUAACACAAUAAGUACCCCGCCUGGGGAGUACGGUCGCAAGACUAAAACUCAAAGGAAUUGACGGGGGCCCGCACAAGCAGCGGAGCAUGUGGUUUAAUUCGAAGCACGCGAAGAACCUUACCUAGACUUGACAUCUCCUGAAUUACUCUUAUCGAGAAGCCCUUCGGGCAGAAGACAGUGGUGCAUGUUGUCGUCAGCUCGUGUCGUGGAGAUUGUU